rnacentral:rRNA from 1 species
CAGCAGCCGCGGUAAUACGGAGGGUGCAAGCGUUAAUCGGAAUUACUGGGCGUAAAGCGCACGCAGGCGGUCUGACAAGUCAGAUGUGAAAUCCCCGGGCUUAACCUGGGAACUGCAUUUGAAACUGUCAGGCUGGAGUCUUGUAGAGGGGGGUAGAAUUCCAGGUGUAGCGGUGAAAUGCGUAGAGAUCUGGAGGAAUACCGGUGGCGAAGGCGGCCCCCUGGACAAAGACUGACGCUCAGGUGCGAAAGCGUGGGGAGCAAACAGGAUUAGAUACCCGCGUAGUCCCUGUCUCUUAUAA